UCCAGGAAAAGCCUCUAAGCAUCAGGUAACAUCAAAUCGUACCCCAAACCGACACAGGUGGUCAGGUAGAGAAUACCAAGGCGCUUGAGAGAACUCGGGUGAAGGAACUAGGCAAAAUGGUGCCGUAACUUCGGGAGAAGGCACGCUGAUAUGUAGGUGAAGUCCCUCGCGGAUGGAGCUGAAAUCAGUCGAAGAUACCAGCUGGCUGCAACUGUUUAUUAAAAACACAGCACUGUGCAAACACGAAAGUGGACGUAUACGGUGUGACGCCUGCCCGGUGCCGGAAGGUUAAUUGAUGGGGUCAGCGCAAGCGAAGCUCUUGAUCGAAGCCCCGGUAAACGGCGGCCGUAACUAUAACGGUCCUAAGGUAGCGAAAUUCCUUGUCGGGUAAGUUCCGACCUGCACGAAUGGCGUAAUGAUGGCCAGGCUGUCUCCACCCGAGACUCAGUGAAAUUGAACUCGCUGUGAAGAUGCAGUGUACCCGCGGCAAGACGGAAAGACCCCGUGAACCUUUACUAUAGCUUGACACUGAACAUUGAGCCUUGAUGUGUAGGAUAGGUGGGAGGCUUGGAAGUGUGGACGCCAGUCUGCAUGGAGCCGACCUUGAAAUACCACCCUUUAAUGUUUGAUGUUCUAACGUUGACCCGUAAUCCGGGUUGCGGACAGUGUCUGGUGGGUAGUUUGACUGGGGCGGUCUCCUCCUAAAGAGUAACGGAGGAGCACGAAGGUUGGCUAAUCCUGGUCGGACAUCAGGAGGUUAGUGCAAUGGCAUAAGCCAGCUUGACUGCGAGCGUGACGGCGCGAGCAGGUGCGAAAGCAGGUCAUAGUGAUCCGGUGGUUCUGAAUGGAAGGGCCAUCGCUCAACGGAUAAAAGGUACUCCGGGGAUAACAGGCUGAUACCGCCCAAGAGUUCAUAUCGACGGCGGUGUUUGGCACCUCGAUGUCGGCUCAUCACAUCCUGGGGCUGAAGUAGGUCCCAAGGGUAUGGCUGUUCGCCAUUUAAAGUGGUACGCGAGCUGGGUUUAGAACGUCGUGAGACAGUUCGGUCCCUAUCUGCCGUGGGCGCUGGAGAACUGAGGGGGGCUGCUCCUAGUACGAGAGGACCGGAGUGGACGCAUCACUGGUGUUCGGGUUGUCAUGCCAAUGGCACUGCCCGGUAGCUAAAUGCGGAAGAGAUAAGUGCUGAAAGCAUCUAAGCACGAAACUUGCCCCGAGAUGAGUUCUCCCUGACUCCUUGAGAGUCCUGAAGGAACGUUGAAGACGACGACGUUGAUAGGCCGGGUGUGUAAGCGCAGCGAUGCGUUGAGCUAACCGGUACUAAUGAACCGUGAGG
rnacentral:rRNA from 1 species